rnacentral:rRNA from 1 species
GUAAGGUAACGGCUCACCAAGGCGACGAUGCGUAGCCGACCUGAGAGGGUGAUCGGCCACACUGGGACUGAGACACGGCCCAGACUCCUACGGGAGGCAGCAGUAGGGAAUCUUCCGCAAUGGACGAAAGUCUGACGGAGCAACGCCGCGUGAGUGAUGAAGGUUUUCGGAUCGUAAAGCUCUGUUGUUAGGGAAGAACAAGUACCGUUCGAAUAGGGCGGUACCUUGACGGUACCUAACCAGAAAGCCACGGCUAACUACGUGCCAGCAGCCGCGGUAAUACGUAGGUGGCAAGCGUUGUCCGGAAUUAUUGGGCGUAAAGCGCGCGCAGGCGGUUUCUUAAGUCUGAUGUGAAAGCCCCCGGCUCAACCGGGGAGGGUCAUUGGAAACUGGGGAACUUGAGUGCAGAAGAGGAGAGU